AUGCACGCUAGCGGCAGGCCUAAUACAUGCCAGUCGGACGGGAUUCAGGAGCUUGCUUCUGAUGAGAGUGGCGCACGGGUGCGUAACACGUAUGUAACCUACCUUUAUCAGGGGGAUAGCCUCUCGAAAGAGAGAUUAAGCCCGCAUAAAAUCACAGCACAGCAUUGUGUAAUGAUCAAAUAUUUAUAGGAUAAAGAUGGGCAUGCGGAACAUUAGCUAGAUGGCGGGGUAACGGCCCACCAUGGCGACGAUGUUUAGGGGAUCUGAGAGGAUGGCCCCCCACACUGGUACUGAGACACGGACCAGACUCCUACGGGAGGCAGCAGUAAGGAAUAUUGGUCAAUGGGCGGAAGCCUGAACCAGCCAUGCCGCGUGCAGGAAGACGGCCCUACGGGUUGUAAACUGCAUUUAUACGGGAAUAAACCCAGAUACGUGUAUCUGGCUGAAUGUACUGUAAGAAUAAGGAUCGGCUAACUCCGUG
rnacentral:rRNA from 1 species